GCCCGCCUAGCUCAAUCGGAUAGAGCGUCAGACUCUUAAAAGAGCCGGCAACGGGCAUCUGAAGGCUGCGAGUUCGACCCUCGCGGUGGGCU